UACGUAGGGUGCGAGCAUUGUCCGGAAUUAUUGGGCGUAAAGAGCUCGUAGGCGGUCUGUCGCGUCUGCUGUGAAAACCCGAGGCUCAACCUCGGGCCUGCAGUGGGUACGGGCAGACUAGAGUGCGGUAGGGGGAGAAUGGAAUUCCUGGUGUAGCGGUGGAAUGCGCAGAUAUCAGGAGGAACACCGGUGGCGAAGGCGGGGUCUCUGGGCCGUAACUGACGCUGAGGCGCGAAAGCGUGGGGAGCAAACAGG
rnacentral:rRNA from 1 species